rfam:Apaloderma vittatum contig58554, whole genome shotgun sequence.
GGCCAGUUAGCUCAGUGAGUUGAGUGUGGCGCUGACAAUGCCAAGGUUGCAGGUUCAAUUCCCGUUUGGUCC